rnacentral:rRNA from 1 species
AUUGAACGCUGGCGGCAGGCCUAACACAUGCAAGUCGAACGAGUGGCGGACGGGUGAGUAAUGUCUGGGAAACUGCCUGAUGGAGGGGGAUAACUACUGGAAACGGUAGCUAAUACCGCAUACCAUCAGAUGUGCCCAGAUGGGAUUAGCUAGUUGGUGGGGUAACGGCUCACCAAGGCGACGAUCCCUAGCUGGUCUGAGAGGAUGACCCGCCAAACUGGAACGGAAACACGGGCCAGACUCCUAAUGGAGGCAGCAGUGGGGAAUAUUGAACAAUGGGCGCAAGCCUGAUGCAGCCAGGCCGCGUGUAUGAAGAAGGCCUUCGGGUUGUAAAGUACUUUCAGCGGGGAGACGUUACCCGCAGAAGAAGCACCGGCUAACUGCGUGCCAGCAGCCGCGGUAAAC